AACGUAGGUGGCGAGCGUUAUCCGGAUUUACUGGGCGUAAAGCGUGUGCAGGCGGGAGGGUAAGUGGUGUGUGAAAUCUCCCAGCUUAACUGGGAGGGGUUAUGCCAGACUGCCAUUCUAGAGUGCGAGAGAGGAGCGUGGAAUUCCGGGUGUAGUGGUGAAAUGCGUAGAGAUCCGGAGGAACCCCAGAGGCGAAGGCGGCGCUCUGGCUCGCAACUGACGCUCAGACACGACAGCAUGGGGAGCGAACGGG
rnacentral:rRNA from 1 species